rnacentral:rRNA from 1 species
ACGGGAGGCAGCAGUGAGGAAUAUUGGUCAAUGGGCGGAAGCCUGAACCAGCCAAGUCGCGUGAAGGAAGACGGUAUUAUGUAUUGUAAACUUCUUUUAUACGGGAAUGAAAAAGGCCACGUGUGGCCUCUUGUAUGUACCGUAUGAAUAAGCAUCGGCUAAUUCCGUGCCAGCAGCCGCGGUAAUACGGAAGAUGCGAGCGUUAUCCGGAUUUAUUGGGUUUAAAGGGAGCGUAGGCGGGUCUUUAAGUCAGUGGUCAAAGCGUGUGGCUCAACCAUACCACGCCAUUGAUACUGGAGACCUUGAGUGCACAUAAGGAUGGUGGAAUUCGUCGUGUAGCGGUGAAAUGCUUAGAUAUGACGAAGAACUCCGAUUGCGAAGGCAGCUGUCCGGGGUGUAACUGACGCUAAUGCUCGAAAGUGCGGGUAUCAAACAGGAUUAGAUACCCUGGUA